CCUACGGGCGGCAGCAGUGAGGAAUAUUGGUCAAUGGACGCAAGUCUGAACCAGCCAUGCCGCGUGCAGGAAGACGGCUCUAUGAGUUGUAAACUGCUUUUGUACGAGGGUAAACGCAGAUACGCGUAUCUGUCUGAAAGUAUCGUACGAAUAAGGAUCGGCUAACUCCUUGCCAGCAGCCGCGGUAAUACGGAGGACUCAAUCGUUAUCCGGAGUUAUUGGGUUUAAAGGGUGCGUAGGCGGUCGGAAAAGUUAGGGGUGAAAGCCCGGGGCUCAACUUCGGAAUUGCCUCUGAUACUGUUCGGCUAGAGAGUAGUUGCGGUAGGCGGAAUGUAUGGUGUAGCGGUGAAAUGCUUAGAGAUCAUACAGAACACCGAUUGCGAAGGCAGCUUACCAAGCUACUUCUGACGUUGAGGCACGAAAGCGUGGGGAGCAAACAGGAUUAGAUACCCCAGUAGUC
rnacentral:rRNA from 1 species